UAAAGGUUUGGUCCCAGCCUUACUAUUAAUUUUAAUUAUAUUUAUACAUGCAAGUCUCAGCAUUCCUGUGAAAAUGCCCUCUUUUUACCAUAAUAAAAAUGAGGAGCAGAUAUCAGGCACUACUUUGCCCAUAACAUCUUGCUAAGCCACACCUCCACAGGAAUUCAGCAGUAGUAAAUAUUGAAUAUAAGCGUCAAUAAGCUUGACUCAGUAAUAAUUUAAAGAGUUGGUAAAUUUCGUGCCAGCCACCGCGGUUAUACGAAAAACCCAAAUUAAUAAAAACGGCCCAAAGCGUGGUUAAAUUAUAUUAAAUAUAAUAGAAAUGAAAAUUAACUUAACUGUCAUACGUAACCGUUAAACGUAAAACCAGAAACGAAAGUUAUUCUAAUAAAAAAAAUUACUUGAACCCACGACCGCUAAGAAACAAACUAGGAUUAGAUACCCUACUAUGCUUAGCUUUAAACUUUGAUUUCUCCGCCAGAUUACUACGAGCCAUAGCUUAAAACUCAAAGGACUUGGCGGUGCUCUACACCCCCUAGAGGAGCCUGUUCUAUAAUCGAUAAUCCUCGCUAAACCUCACCACCUAUUGCCAAUACCGCCUAUAUACCACCGUCCUAAGCUUACCCUUUAAGGGAUAAACAGUAAGCAUAAUAAUAAACAUAAAAACAUCAGGUCAAGGUGUAGCGAAUUAAGUGGAAAGAAAUGGGCUACAUUUUCUUAUAAGAAAAUACAAAAGGUAAAAUGAAAUAUUACCUGAAGGCGGAUUUAGCAGUAAAAAGAAAAUAGAGUGUUCUUUUUAAGUUGGCCCUAGAGCGCGCACACACCGCCCGUCACCCUCAUCAAAAAUAUUAAAGGAAAAAUAACAUAUAAAUUUUUGAAGAAGAGGAAAGUCGUAACAUGGUAAGUAUACUGGAAAGUGUACUUGGAUAUCA
rnacentral:ncRNA from 1 species